rnacentral:lncRNA from 1 species
GGCAGCAACAGAUGGCGGAAGCCUAUGACAUCGCCAUUAGAAAUAUGGAGAAAUCAACAGCAAGGGAAAAGCCUACUACGAUCAGAAGAAAAUGAGUUUGGUUCUGGUCUCAGGGGAUCGUGUACUGGUGAGGAACAUGUCAGAACGUGGGGGGCCAGGAAAGCUAAGAUCACACUGGAAGGACCAAAUACACGUGGUGGUAAGCAGGAAAGGUGAUGACAACCCUGUCUAUGAGGUCCAUGCGCAAAACGCUACCACACAGUCCCUUGCUACGAAUGUGACCAAAGCUGACUUGACGAAUUCCACGAUGUUCAACGUCACUACCACGAACGUCACUACCACGAACGUCACUACCACGAACGUCACUACCACGAACAUCUCCACCACGAACCACUCCACUCCUCAAGGAGCCAGUGUGUCCUUGCAGUCCAGUGCAUUCACACUCCUCAUCCCUGUGGUGGGCUCGCUCCUACAGGGCUGCUUCUAGAGUGUUCAUCUGCACUGAACAAACGCCAAGACUAACAUCUGCAGCCUAGAUGUGCAAAUGUUUUACAAAGAGCACAUUAUUAAUUCUCGGAAUGUAGCCAUUUGCGCACCUAAGCUGUGGGAUUCGGUGGCACGGGCAAGAACACUUGUUUUUUCAUUGAUGGGAUUCUUGUUUGUGCUCGCACCUCCUGGCUGCUUCAAACCGUAGGCCUACACUCUGUGCUCACUGGCCCCAAGCCCAUGGCGUGGCAACAAGCUGUCUCACUGCAGAAUGGGACAUUUGUCCAUAUACCUUUGCGGUUGUUUAGGCAUUAAUUCACAAAUGGUUAAGGUUUGGGAUAGGGUUAAGACAUUUAAAGUGCCUAGCACUGGGAUUGAACACAUGACUAAUUAAUGGUAAUAGUGCUCACCAUUGCCCCUAGUGGCCAAUUUCGAAGUAAUCUCCUGACAUCCUGCUUACCUGGAAAGAUGUCUAAUUUAGCAGUGGUUCUUCAGUGACCUGGCUGUUGCCUCCAUGGAGGCAGGCCAUAAUGAGGAUCUAUUAAACUCUAUUCUUUGACUCAAUUAUGGUGUAAUUGCAGACCGCAAUUCAUGGAGUUUCUAGAUAUCAGGAAAAGCACAUUGGUGCCUGCUUUUCCUGAUAAAGAAACACCCUGAAUUUGUCAGUUCCGGUGUUGAGACUGAUGGUUUCUCGACAUUUGUUUACAUGGCAGGUAAGGAUAAUUAACGUGGCUGGUUAGGUGACUUGGUGUGCCAGGUUAGGAGAAUGAGGUAAAGGGUUAGCUUUAGAUAGUGUUGUCCCCAACGUUAACUACAUGGCCACAGACCAGUGGUGAGCAUCAAUGGGUGUAACUUGAUUUCAAGAAACGCACAUCUGAAACACCCCUACUCCUUUCAUUCACUUGGUCCCACUGUUCCUGAUUUCAGACAGCAGUUUAACUUGUGUACAUUUUGGCUGUGCCUGGAGUAAUCAACUGAAUAACUGAUGUUUGAGGUGCGUUGUGGAAAAUAACAGCCUGUCUGAUCUGUGGCACUUAUGUCCUUAACAGUGCUAUUUUUACUCCUGCAACUGCAAUGGAUACUAUGUCAGAGGCUUGAUGAAGCCUACACUUGUGAUGAACUUAUUGAAUUUUAUAUUGUAAACAUGUGACUUAUGUAAGUCAGUGAUGCUUUUAGAUCUCGUAUGUCAGGUUCAAUAAAGCUUUGAAAUGUACUUGUCAUGAGAUUUAAUGUCCUUGUACAAUAAAAUGUGACAUUUAAUAUAACUGACUUAUCCUGUCAAUUCCAAAGCUUGGCAUGUCAACUCAUUGGCUUUUCCAUCUGUCUUACAAGUCCAAUGCAGCAGGUCUUUCUCAAUCAAAUUACUGGUUAACAAUUGUGUGCCUUACAGAGAUUUUUCUAUAAAAAUGGUCAAACUAUUGGCUGCUUAGCAAAGGGCAAGAAUUUUGCUAGAACUGGUGGGGAAAAUUCUGUUUAAUGGCAAAUGUUUGGAACUUAUUAGUCUAACCAAUUUAGUGGGACUUCACCAUGGGAAUCCAUGCUGUCUACCACAACGGGCUGCCUUUUCAAAUGGCGCUUAUUCCAACUUCUGUGGCAAGGCAUAACACAGUAAUCCAAUUUAACUGCCUGGGCCUUUUUUAAGCCCCUAUUGAUUACAUGCAGUGCAUUUGGAAAGUAUUCAGACCCCUUAAAAAAGUUAGACUUUAUAAAAUACAUUGAGGAUAAUCUACACUUGGUUGACUGUCCACAAAGUGAAAACAGGUUUAGACAUUUUUCUGCAACAAAAGAAAUCCCUUGAAGUAUUUGAAAUUGUGCUCAGGUGCAUCCUGUUUCCAUUGAUUUGUUUCUACAACUUGGAGUUCACCUGUGGUAUAUUCAAUUGAUUGGACAUUAUUUGGAAAAGGCACACAAGGUCCCACAGUUGACAGCAUAUCAGAGCAAAAACCAAGCCAUGAGGUUAAAGGAAUUGUCUGUAGAGCUUUGAGAAAGGAUUGUGUCUAGGCACAGAUCUGGGCAAAGCUACCAAAACAUUUCUGCAGCAUUGUAGUCCCACAGUGGCCUCCAUUAAAUGAUAGUUUGGAACCAAGACUCUUCCUAGAGCUAGCCGCCCGGCCAAACUGAGAAACCUGGGGGAAAAGGGCCUUGGUCAGGGAGGUGACCAAGAACCCGACGGUCACUCUGACAGCUCCAGCAUUCCUCUGUGGAGAUGGGAGAUUCUUCCAAAAGGACAACCAUCUCUGCAGUGCUUCACCAAUCAGGCCUUUUAUGAUAGGGGCCAGACAGAAGCCACUCAGUAAACAGCACAUGACAGUCCUCUUGGAGUUUGCCUAAAGGCACCUAAAGACACAGACCAUGAGAAACAAGAUUCUGUGGUCUGAUGAAACCAAGAUUGAAUGUUAAGUGUCACGUCUGGAGGAACACUGGCACCAUCCAUAUAGUGAAGCAUGGUGGUGGCAGCGUCAUGCUGUGGGGAUGUUUUUCAGCAGCACGGACUGGGAGACUAGUCAGGAUUGAGGGAAAGAUGAACGAAGCAAAGUACAGAGAGAUCCUUGAUGAAAACCUGCUUAGGACCUCAGACUGGGUCGAAGGUUCACCUUCAAUAGUUCAAUGACCCUAAGCACACAACCAAGACAACGCAGGAGUGGCUUCGGGACAAGUCUCUUAAUGUCCUUGAGUGGCCCUGCCUGAGCCCGGACUUGAAUCCGACCGAACAUCUCUGGAGAGACCUGAAAAUAGCUGUGCAGCGACGCUCUCCAUCCAACCUGACAGAGCUUGAGACGA